rnacentral:rRNA from 1 species
UUCGGAAUCACGGGGCGUACAGAGUUCGUAGGCGGUCUGGAAAGUGGGGUGGGAAAUCCCUCGGCUCAACCGAGGAACUGCGCUUGAAACUACCAGACUCGAGGGAGAUAGAGGAAAGCGGAACUGAUGGUGGAGCGGUGAAAUGCGUUGAUAUCAUCAGGCACACCGGUGGCGAAGGCGGCUCCCUGGGUCUCUACUGACGCUGAGGUACGAAAGCCAGGGUAGCGAACGGG